rnacentral:rRNA from 1 species
GGGUGCGAUCAUACCAGCACUAAUGCACCGGAUCCCAUCAGAACUCCGCAGUUAAGCGUGCUUGGGCGAGAGUAGUACUAGGUUGGGUGACCUCCUGGGAAGUCCUCGUGUUGCACCCCUUU